rnacentral:rRNA from 1 species
GAAUAUUGGACAACGGGCGAAAGCCUGAUCCAGACAUGCCGCGUGUGUGAAGAAGGUCUCCGGAUUGUAAAGCACUUUAAGUUGGGAGGAAGGGGUUGAUGCUAAUACAUUCAAUCUUUGACGUUACCAACAGAAUAAGCACCGGCUAACUCAGGGCAAGCAGCCGCGGUAACACUGAGGGUGCAACCGUUAAUCGGAAGUACUGGGCGUAAAGCGCGGGUAGGUUGUUCAAUAAGAUGGAAAUGAAAUCCCCGGGCUUAACCUGGGAACUGCUUUCAUAACUGCUGAGCUAGAGUACGGUAGAGGGUAGUGGAAUUUCCUGUGUAGCGGUGAAAUGCGUAGAUAUAGGAGGGAACACCAGUGGCGAAGGCGACUACCUGGACUGAUACUGACACUGAGGUGCGAAAGCGUGGGGAGCAAACA